AAAGCAGGGGACCUUCGGGCCUCACGCUAUCAGAUGAGCCCAGAUCGGAUUAGCUAGUUGGUGGGGUAAUGGCUCACCAAGGCGACGAUCCGUAACUGGUCUGAGAGGAUGACCAGUCACACUGGAACUGAGACACGGUCCAGACUCCUACGGGAGGCAGCAGUGGGGAAUAUUGGACAAUGGGCGCAAGCCUGAUCCAGCCAUGCCGCGUGUGUGAAGAAGGUCUUCGGAUUGUAAAGCACUUUCAGCUGGGAGGAAGGGCAGUAAAUUAAUACCUUUGCUCAUUUGACGUUACCNACAGAAUAAGCACCGGCUAACUCUGUGCCAGCAGCCGCGGUAAUACGGAGGGUGCAAGCGUUAAUCGGAAUUACUGGGCGUAAAGCGCACGUAGGCGGUUCGUUAAGUCNGAUGUGAAAUCCCCGGGCUCAACCUGGGAACUGCAUUCGAAACUGACGAGCUAGAGUAUGGUAGAGGGUGGUGGAAUUUCCCGUGUAGCGGUGAAAUGCGUAGAUAUAGGAAGGAACACCGGUGGCGAAGGCGACCACCUGGACUGAUACUGAC
rnacentral:rRNA from 1 species